GCAGCCGCGCCCCCAGCCGUAUUUCCGCGGGCGCUGAGCACUAGAGAGAGCGUCUUGUGGCUGCGGCCUGCCCCUCAGCCUCCUCCGCGCGGUUACCCCUGUACCCGCCGCCAUCCGUCCUGGCGCUCCGGAUGAGUCAAUGAGGGGCAGGGCCCGAGGAGUGGUCUUCCCAAGAACCCCUGGUGGCCUCCCAAGGCCGGUGCUGUGUACCUCCUCCCCGACAAAAGGGGAAACUGAGGCCCCGAGGGGAGUGGGAAGAGCCGGCUGGACGUCAGGCCCAGCCGCUGGUGCAGUGGUCCGUCCCCUCUGCCGGGGUGGGCCCCUCGGGUUUCGCGUGUCCUCGGGAAAGAGACUGGCGGGCCUCGUGGGCUGUGCGGCUAUCCUGGAGACAGAUGACAGCUCUCCCUUGGAUGGCUUUGCUGGUUCCGCACCAGCCAGCGCCCCCAUUUUUCCUGCAGCACCCUGAUCUGCACUCCCUGAGGGGCUCCCACUGUCCGCGGUGUGAGGAUGUCCCUGGAUAGUCCACUGUGUGCAGAGGCAUGGGAGUUGUCAUGUUGGGAACAUGCUAGACCUCAGUAUCCUUGAGGGAUGCUGCCUUGGGUCUGGAAACUGUUAGAGGAAACCCCAAGAGGUGCAGGCACUGAGCCUCUCAGGACAAUGACCUGGGGUCCCAGCUCCCCUGGAGGGGCCUCCUCAUGAUUGUUUGGGGGUUGAUCACAGACCAAGAGUGACGAGUGAUGUCACCCUGUGACUCAUGGCUGGACCUUCUUGCCCCUAUUGUCUCAGCACAACAUUAUUCGACUUUUCCCUCAGCGUGGGUGGGCAGAGGAAAAGCCCUGUGGCUCUGGGGACUUGGGAUCCAGAGUUGAAGACCCUUCAGCUGGCUCUGCCCUGCCAGUGCCACAGAGUGCCAUGGCCCAGGAAGACAGGUUUUCUUCCAUCUAGGCCAGGCCAUCCAGUGGCCAUCCUCCGUGUCCUCCCGCCUCCUCCUGGUGUGACUUCUGAAAACCAAGAAUUUGUUCCUGUUGACUUUUUCUGUGCUAUGGACCAUUGUCCUCUCACCCACUCAAUAAAUCUUGAAACAUGCAAAAAAAAAAAAAA
rnacentral:lncRNA from 1 species